rnacentral:tRNA from 1 species
GCAGGAAGUCGAGCGCGGUCAGCAGCACGCGGGUCUGCCGCACCCGCAUCGGGCUGGCGUCCGAAUCGACGAACUUGCG